AUAUUGAAAGACAGAGCAAUCUGUCACUUGGGGAUGGGCCUGCGGCGCAUUCNAUAGUUGGUGGGGUAAUGGCCCACCAAGGCGACGAUGCGUANCCGACCUGAGAGGGUGAACGGCCACACUGGGACUGAGACACGGCCCACACUCCUACGGGAGGCAGCAGUAGGGAAUCUUCCGCGAUGGGCGAAAGCCUGACGGAGCAACGCCUCGUGAGUGAUGAAGGUUUUCGGAUCGUAAAGCUCUGUUGCCAAGGANAGAACGUCUCAUAGANGUAACUGCUAUGANNAGUGACGGUACUUNGAGANNANAGCCCCCGGCUAACUNACGUGCCANGCAGCCCGCNGGUAAUACNGUAGGGGGGGCAAAG
rnacentral:rRNA from 1 species